UUUCCUUUGUUGUCCUCUUGUUCCAGGUUAGAAUAAAACUGGUCAAGAGUCAAGAUGACAUUCAGGGUGUUUCUCCAGGCAGCUGCUUGAUGGCUUCAGGGGGGAAAGGCAACAUGCACCCGGGACAAGAGAUGCACCAACAGCUCGGAUUUUCUGCUGCAGAACACACCUGGAAUGCUGUGAACACUGGAGGAGUCCAGUUCAAAACAGUGCCUGGCCUUGGACAUAACUGCUCUUUCCCUGUGUAACUAUGAAUUCUGUGGGGAGAAAAUCCAUCUCCUUCACCAUUUUGCAACAUUUAAUUGUCCUCAACAACCAACUCUUCUUUGAGGCCCAGUUCUACCACAUUUUCCCUGGAUCACCUCCAAUAUUUCCAUGACAGAAAAGCUCAUUCAGAACCAUGCUCAAGGAAGCUGCUGUGUGUCAGAGUGAAGAACACACCAGUGAAAUAUGUUCCCCCCUGUGUAGAGCAGCUCAAGCUCCUGAAGUACAAGCACUUAAAUUAGGAGCAAGUGCUACUUUAUAAAAUCAGGGCAAUAUUUCCAGCCUCUGAAAUGCACAUGGCUGUCUCUGUUUUGGCAGAGACAAUCUCUGCACUGUUCCAAACUAAAUUCAUUAUUAGAACCGAACCAGAUAAGAUUCAAAAUGAAAUCCACCUCUGCCUUUCUCUGCACACCUGAAUUUUUGUAGGCAAUUCCUUCAAACAUGGUAUUCCCCAAAGGAGGUCAAUUUUGUUAACAUGGUUUUCUAAAUAGCCCAAGUUCUUUAGAAAAGCUGUGGUUCAUGUUUUUCCAUGGAAGAAAAUAGUUUGGGAAUCCACUGGGUCCUAUGAACUGCC